UAGAGGGUAAAUAUUCCUGGUUAUCCGCCAUAUUGUCCUACACGAAACACUGUUUAGUACUUUUUAAAGAGUAUUUUGUUUUCGAAGAUUGAAGCAGCAACCCUGACAGCAAAAUGUUGCUUCAACGAGCAUUCAGGCUGGGUUUAGUUCGGAGAUCCAUGGCCACUGGACAUGGACACAGCACAGAGUCUACUGGGAUUAAGUUGACACCUGUUCAGCAACUUGGAGUCUUUACUGCUAUAUUCUGUGGAGUUCUGGGGCCUGGGAUCCUUCUGAUGCUGACCCGUGAAAAACCACUCAGUGAACACUGAUGCUGGAUUGUUGCUGUGAUGUCAUUAAUGCUGAAAGACAAACUGACACAUUUUGUCUAUAUUAACUGUUGACGUGUGGUUGUGUGACUAAAUUUGAAUGAAAUAUAAAGAACUUAUGAUGUAUUUUGUGGCUGAUGCCAUUGUUAUUUGCCUUGUAUAAUGUAUAAUUGCUGAUGGUUUAAACUGUUUUUGAAUGUAAUGUUACAGUGCUGAUAUUUUUUCUGUCACAGUCUGAGAAAGAUAUGUUUCCUGGUUUGUGAAUUUUCUUCAAAAUUGUAAUGAAGUGCAUUAAAAUUACUAUGGAAGCUUGUUUUUA